rnacentral:rRNA from 1 species
UACGAAGGGGGCUAGCGUUGUUCGGAUUUACUGGGCGUAAAGGGCUUGUAGGUGGCCAACUAAGUCACACGUGAAAUCCCUCGGCUUAACCGGGGAACUGCGUGUGAUACUGGAUGGCUUGAGUGUGGGAGAGGGAUGCGGAAUUCCAGGUGUAGCGGUGAAAUGCGUAGAUAUCUGGAGGAACACCGGUGGCGAAGGCGGCAUCCUGGACCAAAACUGACACUGAAAAGCGAAAGCCAGGGGAGCAAACGGG